rnacentral:rRNA from 1 species
UACGUAGGGGGCAAGCGUUGUCCGGAAUCAUUGGGCGUAAGGCGCGUGUAGGCGGUUCUGUAAGUCUGCUGUGAAAGUCCAGGGCUCAACCCUGGGAUGCCGGUGGAUACUGCAGGGCUAGAGUACGGAAGAGGCGAGUGGAAUUCCCGGUGUAGCGGUGAAAUGCGCAGAUAUUGGGAGGAACACCAGUGGCGAAGGCGGCUCACUGGACCGGUUCUGACGCUGAGGCGCGAAAGCGUGGGGAGCAAACGGG